GCUUCAUGUUCUGAUGCAAGAUUGAGGCAGUCAAGGAGAUGUUCUGGAGAGAACUUGUCUGCUGAGUACAUGUACCGAUAAAUCAUAUCUCCUAAACACGCUUUGCCACUCUAGAAACAAAAAUAUUUGUUGAAAAAACAGAAGUUUUAAAGUGAAAGUAGAGAAAUAACCUUUGGAAGAGUUGCCAUGUAUGUGUCUGGAAUUUCCAUCUCAGCAAGAAUACUACUAUUGAUGGCCAUGGCUGCUUUGUGGAUUUGAUUGGCACAGUCACGUUUGUGUCUCAAAUGCUUCCUUGCUUUCUCAGUGAGUCCAUCUGGAGAAACACAUGGAACUGGCAACCACCAUUUCUCAUCUUUUCUCUGAACAAUUCUCCGAAAUGAUCCUGAAGGACCUGAACCAAUUGAACUGGAUGACAAGCUUCCUUGUUCUGCAUACCAGAACUCUCUGUCUUGGAAACUGUCCAAUAUUUCCUGCGAAAGAAUCCAUGUAUAUAUUAGACUCUGAUAGAGAACUGAGUGAAAGUAUUAGAGAUAGUGCAAGAUAGAGAUCCUUACAAUAAGCAUUGCGUCAAGCUUUCUCAAAGCUGGCAGGUUUAUAUAAAUAUCAGCUCUUGGUCUACUUGUCAUAAUCUGAGAGAUUAAAGGGGAAAAAUAAUAUAUAUCAGAAAAGGUUCAUAACAAGCAAUAGUAUAGCAAAACUAGUUGAAUUUCAUUACAGCCCAUGAAUCAUUCAUGUAUGUAAAUACCUCUAAAGCUGUUCCAUCUCUCAAAUUUUGUGAUGUGGCAGGGAUGAAUUCUACUAUGUAAUCACAUACAGAUAGAAGACAAUCCAUUUCUCUCUUCCACA